rnacentral:tRNA from 4 species
GGGUCGUUAGCUCAGUUGGUAGAGCAGCGGACUCUUAAUCCGUUGGUCGUAGGUUCGACCCCUACACGGCCUACCA